UUUGAUCAUGGCUCAGGAUGAACGCUAGCGGCAGGCCUAACACAUGCAAGUCGAGGGGGUAGAGGAAGCUUGCUUCCUUGAGACCGGCGCACGGGUGCGUAACGCGUAUGCAACCUACCUUUUACAGGGGAAUAGCCCAGAGAAAUUUGGAUUAAUGCCCCAUGGUAUAAUCGGAUGGCAUCAUUUGAUUAUUAAAGUUCCAACGGUAAAAGAUGGGCAUGCGUCCUAUUAGCUAGAUGGUAAGGUAACGGCUUACCAUGGCUACGAUAGGUAGGAGUCCUGAGAGGGAGAUCCCCCACACUGGUACUGAGACACGGACCAGACUCCUACGGGAGGCAGCAGUGGGGAAUAUUGGACAAUGGGCGAAAGCCUGAUCCAGCCAUGCCGCGUGUGUGAAGAAGGUCUUCGGAUUGUAAAGCACUUUAAGUUGGGAGGAAGGGUAGUAACCUAAUACGUUGCUACUUUGACGUUACCGACAGAAUAAGCACCGGCUAACUUCGUG
rnacentral:rRNA from 1 species